AUUGAACGCUGGCGGCAGGCCUAACACAUGCAAGUCGAACGGUAACAGGAAGAAGCUUGCUUCUUUGCUGACGAGUGGCGGACGGGUGAGUAAUGUCUGGGAAACUGCCUGAUGGAGGGGGAUAACUACUGGAAACGGUAGCUAAUACCGCAUAACGUCGCAAGACCAAAGAGGGGGACCUUCGGGCCUCUUGCCAUCGGAUGUGCCCAGAUGGGAUUAGCUAGUAGGUGGGGUAACGGCUCACCUAGGCGACGAUCCCUAGCUGGUCUGAGAGGAUGACCAGCCACACUGGAACUGAGACACGGUCCAGACUCCUACGGGAGGCAGCAGUGGGGAAUAUUGCACAAUGGGCGCAAGCCUGAUGCAGCCAUGCCGCGUGUAUGAAGAAGGCCUUCGGGUUGUAAAGUACUUUCAGCAGGGAGGAAGGGAGUAAAGUUAAUACCUUUACUCAUUGACGUUACCCGCAGAAGAAGCACCGGCUAACUCCGUG
rnacentral:rRNA from 1 species